rnacentral:rRNA from 1 species
GAUGAACGCUAGCGGCAGGCUUAACACAUGCAAGUCGAGGGGUAUAGUUCUUCGGAACUAGAGACCGGCGCACGGGUGUGUAACGCGUAUGCAAUCUGCCUUUCACAGAGGGAUAGCCAGAGAAAUUUGGAUUAAUACCUCAUAGUAUUAUAGACUGGCAUCGGUUUAUAAUUAAAGUCAAAACGGUGAAAGAUGAGCAUGCGUCCCAUUAGCUAGUUGGUAAGGGAACGGCUUACCAAGGCGACGAUGGGUAGGGGUCCUGAGAGGGAGAUCCCCCACACUGGUACUGAGACACGGACCAGACUCCUACGGGAGGCAGCAGUGAGGAAUAUUGGUCAAUGGACGCAAGUCUGAACCAGCCAUGCCGCGUGCAGGAUGACGGUCCUAUGGAUUGUAAACUGCUUUUGUACGAGAAGAAACACUCCAACGUGUUGGAGCUUGACGGUAUCGUAAGAAUAAGGAUCGGCUAACUCCGUGCCAGCAGCCGCCGUAAUAC